AAGAGAGAUGGCGCUCGGGACGGAAGGGUUCCCUGCCCUGCCCCAGGAGCCUGCAUGGGAGAAGGCGUGAGGAGGUGAAGGAAGCUUAUGGUACCUGCACACCGACAGGCUGGAGCGCGAGAGCAACCCUGUGGCCUGUCCUGGUCUCUGACUCACCCUGAAGAAUGAGAAACCUGUUUAAAGUGAAGUGUGAUGGAAUCAAGUCAGACGUGAGGAAGGACCUACCUCCUUGGUCAAAGCUGGGAUGGGGAUCUUGCUCUGUUGCCCAGGCUGGAGGGCAGUGGUGGAGUCAUAGCUCAUCAAAAGCUCAACCUUCCAGGCUCAAGUGAUGCUUCCGUCUCAGCCUUCUGAGUAGCUGGGACAACAGGCUGGAGUGCAAUGGCGCGGUCUCGGCUCACUGCAACCUCCGCCUCCCAGGUUCGUGCUGGCCGUGGGCAGCGCCGUCUUUGAUGCCAUGUUCAACGGGGGAAUGGCCACAACAUCCACGGAGAUUGAGCUGCCCGACGUGGAACCCGCUGCCUUCCUCGCACUGCUCAAGUAAUGCUUCCGGAUG
rnacentral:lncRNA from 10 species